UACGAGUGCCCCAAGCGUUAUCCGGAAUCAUUGGGCGUAAAGGGUGUGUAGGUGGCUUGUCUAGUCUUCUGUUAAAAUCCGGGGCUCAACUCCGGACUUGCAGUGGAAACGGGCAAGCUCGAGGAUGCGAGGGGUGAAUGGAACUCAUGGAGUAGGGGUGAAAUCCGUUGAUAUCAUGGGGAAUACCAAAAGCGAAGGCAAUUCACUGGCGCAUUCCUGACACUGAAACACGAAAGCGUGGGUAGCGAACGGG
rnacentral:rRNA from 1 species